rnacentral:rRNA from 1 species
GACGAACGCUGGCGGCGUGCUUAACACAUGCAAGUCGAACGGAAAGGCCCUGCUUGUGUGGGGUGCUUGACUGGCGAACGGGUGAGUAACACGUGAGUAACCUGCCCUGGACUUUGGGAUAACUUAAGGAAACUGGGGCUAAUAUCGGAUAGGAGCUCCUGCUGCAUGGUGGGGGUUGGAAAGCUUAGGCGGUUGGGGAUGGACUCGCGGCUUAUCAGCUUGUGGGUGGGGUACUGGCUUACCAAGGCUUGGACGAGUAGCCGGCCUGAGAGCGUGACCGGCCACAUUGGGACUGAGAUAGGGCCCAGACUCCUACGGGAGGCAGCGGGGGGGAAUCUUGCCCAAUGGGCGGAAGCCUGGUGCAACAACGCCGCGUGCGGGAUGACCGCCUUCGGGUUGUGAACCGGUUCCGCCUAUGACGAAGCGUGAGUGACGGUAAUGGGUAAAGAAGCACCGGCUAACUACGUG